CGUCCUAACUAUUGUCAUGAACCUUCCACAGAAUGCGUCCAGUAUCAAAAUCACAUCAAAGAGAAUACGGUGGAUUUUGUAUGAGACGCAUUCCGUGGCGGGAACAUUAAAGAUCGCCCAUCGGAA
rnacentral:pre_miRNA from 14 species